rnacentral:rRNA from 1 species
UACGUAGGGUGCAGGCGUUAAUCGGAAUUACUGGGCGUAAAGCGUGCGCAGGCGGUUUCUUAAGUCAGAUGUGAAAGCCCCGGGCUUAACCUGGGAACUGCAUUCGAGACUGCAUUGCUAGAGUAUGGGAGAGGGAAGUGGAAUUUCCGGUGUAGCGGUGAAAUGCGUAGAUAUCGGAAGGAACAUCAGUGGCGAAAGCGACUUCCUGGACCAAUACUGACGCUCAUGUGCGAAAGCGUGGGGAGCAAACAGG